GCCUGGGUGGCUCAGUCGGUUAAGCGUCCGACUUCAGCUCAGGUCAUGAUCUCACGGUGCGUGGGUUCGAGCCCCGCGUCAGGCU
rnacentral:tRNA from 1 species